CCUGCUCUGGCUGGCAUCACCCUGCAAUCAGGACUACCUGGGAGGAUGCAGAGGGGAGCCUCUCAUUCUGCCAUGAAAAUGUGCAUCUUUGUUUCCUGACUCCUACCCACACCUGAGCCCUGGGAGAUGCCAUCACUGCUUCAGCAGUAUGACCAGAACGUCAAUUCCAACCGAGCAGAAAGCUUGAGGCUGCAGGAAGCACCAGGCUGUGAUGUGGGCUUUAGACCUUGGCUGUGAUGAAAACUUGUUCCCGUCCAAACAUGUCGCCUGGACCCCUUUCGUUGCGAGCAGCGCUGACAUGGUUCUGCUCAAAUAAACUGAGGAUCCCGUUUCACAUGAUUCAUUUGAUAGAAACAUCAGGACUGCUGAUGCAUGGAUUGGCCUCCGUGAUCCCUCUUCCAAAAACACAGGCAGUGGAUCAUGAGAUUGUUGUGCUAACAGGAAAGAAGAAAUGGCCGGUUUCUCUGUUUCCUUUCUUGGCUUUUCUGGUGGCGCUGGCUUCUGGCAUUUUGCGUAACCCACGAGUAUUAGUGAUUGGAAUAAAGAAGAAGAUAGGAUGGAGAGGAUUACGGAAAAGCUCAGGUGGGUAUACAGUUGUGAUCUGCCAGGAUCCUGGUGUUUCUGCCCGUGAUGCCCCUCCCUCCCUCUCCAUACCUGUGGGAUGAAUACCUGUAGGGGUGUAUUAACACACCCAUGUAGCAAACUGCUACCAAAUGAUUAGGACAAAAUCAUAC